UACGUAGGGCGCAAGCGUUAUCCGGAAUUAUUGGGCGUAAAGAGCUCGUAGGCGGUUUGUCGCGUCUGCCGUGAAAGUCCGGGGCUCAACCCCGGAUCUGCGGUGGGUACGGGGCAGGACUUGAGUGCAGUAGGGGAGACUGGAAUUCCUGGUGUAGCGGUGAAAUGCGCAGAUAUCAGGAGGAACACCGAUGGCGAAGGCAGGUCUCUGGGCUGUAACUGACGUGAGGAGCGAAAGCAUGGGGAGCGAACAGG
rnacentral:rRNA from 1 species